rnacentral:rRNA from 1 species
CGCCUUAUACUCCUACGGGAGGCAGCAGUGGGGAAUAUUGGUCAAUGGUCGCAAGACUGAACCAGCCAUGCCGCGUGCAGGAAGACGGUCCUAUGGAUUGUAAACUGCUUUUAUACAGGAAGAAACCCUCCCACGUGUGGGAGCUUGACGGUACUGUAGGAAUAAGGAUCGGCUAACUCCGUGCCAGCAGCCGCGGUAAUACGGAGGAUCCAAGCGUUAUCCGGAAUCAUUGGGUUUAAAGGGUCCGUAGGCGGUUUUAUAAGUCAGUGGUGAAAGCCCAUCGCUCAACGAUGGAACUGCCAUUGAUACUGUAAGACUUGAAUGCUUAGGAAGUAACUAGAAUAUGUAGUGUAGCGGUGAAAUGCUUAGAUAUUACAUGGAAUACCAAUUGCGAAGGCAGGUUACUACUAAGUGAUUGACGCUGAUGGACGAAAGCGUGGGGAGCGAACAGGAUUAGAUACCCGGGUAGUCCACGUACCA